ACGGUCAUAACAUGCAAAAAACAUCGGUUCUCUUCCGAUCACCGAAGUUAAGCAUCAUCGGGCGUGGCCAGUACUUGGGAGGGUUACCACCUGGGAACACCGCAUGCA